GUACUGACGCUGAGAUGCGAAAGCGGUGGGAGCAAACAGGAUUAGAUACCUGGUAGUCCGCUGUAAACGAUGUCGAUUUGGAGUUUGUUGCCUAGAGUGAUGGGCUCCGAAGCUAACGCGAUAAAUCGACCGCCUGGGGAGUACGGCCGCAAGGUUAAAACUCAAAUGAAUUGACGGGGGCCCGCACAAGCGGUGGAGCAUGUGGUUUAAUUCGAUGCAACGCGAAGAACCUUACCUGGUCUUGACAUCCAUAGAAUUCUGCAGAGAUGUGGGAGUGCCUUCGGGAACUAUGAGACAGGUGCUGCAUGGCUGUCGUCAGCUCGUGUUGUGAAAUGUUGGGUUAAGUCCCGCAACGAGCGCAACCCUUAUUCUUUGUUGCCAGCGAUUUGGUCGGGAACUCAAAGGAGACUGCCGUUGAUAAAGCGGAGGAAGGUGGGGACGACGUCAAGUCAUCAUGGCCCUUACGACCAGGGCUACACACGUGCUACAAUGGCGUAUACAAAGGGAAGCGAAGGUGCGAGCUGGAGCGGAUCUCAUAAAGUACGUCUAAGUUCGGAUUGGAGUCUGCAACUCGACUCCAUGAAGUCGGAAUCGCUAGUAAUCGUAGAUCAGAAUGCUACGGUGAAUACGUUCCCGGGCCUUGUACACACCGCCCGUCACACCAUGGGAGUGGGUUGCACCAGAAGUAGAUAGCUUAACCGCGAGGGGGGCGUUUACCACGGUGUGAUUCACGACUGGGGUGAAGUCGUAACAAGGUAACCA
rnacentral:rRNA from 1 species